UCGUCAGUGAGGUAUAUCCUUACCUGUUCCUCCUCCGGGAGAACAGAAGAUGAUGAAUGGAGAUGAAUGAGACAUGAUUAAGGUCUUCCCGGUUGAGGACAAGCAACACCUCAGCCGGCUCCUUUCUGAU